rnacentral:rRNA from 1 species
GUGGGGAAUCUUGCGCAAUGGGCGAAAGCCUGACGCAGCCAUGCCGCGUGAAUGAUGAAGGUCUUAGGAUUGUAAAAUUCUUUCACCGGGGACGAUAAUGACGGUACCCGGAGAAGAAGCUCCGGCUAACUUCGUGCCAGCAGCCGCGGUAAUACGAAGGGGGCUAGCGUUGCUCGGAAUUACUGGGCGUAAAGGGCGCGUAGGCGGACAGCUUAGUCAGAGGUGAAAGCCCAGGGCUCAACCUUGGAAUUGCCUUUGAUACUGGCUGUCUUGAGUUUGGGAGAGGUGAGUGGAACGCCGAGUGUAGAGGUGAAAUUCGUAGAUAUUCGGAAGAACACCAGUGGCGAAGGCGACUCACUGGCCCAAUACUGACGCUGAGGCGCGAAAGCGUGGGGAGCAAACAGGAUUAGAUACCCGUGUAGUCC